GGAAGCCGUAUACAUCGAGAGGUGUACGUACGGUUUUGUGGGGAGUGGUUGGAAACCUACUAUAGAAAUAUAGAAAGGCGCUGUCCGCUUACCCGAC
rnacentral:ncRNA from 1 species